CGUUAUUUAAAAUAUUACCAGAUGUUAGAUAAUUUCUUUAAAAAAAAGAUAUAUAUGUCACAUCAAAAAAUCUAAUUUGAAAUAUGUAUUAAUAUAUUUGAGUGGUUUUUCCCUCUCUCCGCUUAAUUGUUUCCUGAAGGUGGCUCCAAUCCGUCCUCCCAUUUCCCUCGUGCGCCGUCACUUCUCUGCAGUCUGACAGGAGCAGCAGCCGCGUGUGAUGACAGAACAAGCUGUGUUGAGGAAGGAAAAGAAAAAGCAUUUAGGUGGAUUGCUUUUUCAUUUUAUUUUUGACUCAAAAAUGCAGCUUCAUUUUGAAAAUUAAAAAGCAUUUCUGGUUUUGCUUUUUUUUUCAUGCUACAGAACCGCUUCCAUAGUGACGUGCGUGGGGCGUGCAUUUGGCAUUAGUGGCUGACGCAAAGAAGGAGAAAAGCUGAGCAGCCCUAAGACCACCACACUCAACUUCUCCACCCUAAAACAUUUUUGUGCGGACCAAACGCAGAGCUGUCUGUCAGUCACUCAUGGGGAACUUUUGCCUUUUUCUUGGGAUGUUUCUGGUGUCAGUCGUCUCGGGUAAUACUGCUGAACAAGUCUCAGGCUUUACAGGAGGUAGUGUGGUUUUGCCAUGCUCCUGUGAGAACAGAGACAAAUCAGGUUUUUCCUGGCAGAAGAUCCAUACCCAGAAACCUUUGAAGGUCUUCAGUUUAGAAGGCCAUAACAAAUCAUAUGGGAAAGAAUUUGAAGGAAGGAUGGAACAUUUUGAUUCAGAUAUUUCAAAUAACUGUUCCAUUCUCCUGAAAAAUAUCAAUGGGGGGGAUCAUGGUAUUUACAGGUGUUAUUAUAGGACAAUAGAAAACCUCCAAUAUUGGGAUGUAGACCUGAACGUCUCUGGUAAGUAG
rnacentral:lncRNA from 1 species